GUAACGGCAUGUUGGAUCCCUGCUCGGGCAGCGACAACAUCCCGUCCGCAUCUCUUCAGUUGUUGGUGCGAGCAAGUGCUCGUCCGGCGUCGGUUUUCCUGUGCUGAAUUCCUAUCAUGAGGGCAUUCUAUCGGCUACCAUCGUCUCAUUCCCRUCCUGUGCUGCUGCCCAAGUGGGCUGGCGGUGCGGGGUGGGCCAAACAGCGCACGUUGUGUCUCGCGCCCCGAAUGCCCAUUAAACGGUGUUCGGGCCGACGAAGCACGACGGAUCGCUCGGUCUCUCGGGUACRGAACAUCAUGUGGGUACGGGGCCCUUGGCCUUGGAGCACCACAAAAAAGCGUUCUACGCUUCGUGCGAACGACCGUUGGCUCAAUCUCCUGUCGUGCCCCCGUGGUUCGGUUCGGUGUUGGGCCGACGUCGGUGAGGAAUGCUACCU
rnacentral:misc_RNA from 1 species